UACCAGCACCCCGAGUGGUCGGGACGAUUAUUGGGCCUAAAGCAUCCGUAGCCGGUUCUGCAAGUCCCCCGUUAAAUCCAGCUGCUCAACAGAUGGGCCGCGGAGGAUACUACAGAGCUAGGAGGCAGGAGAGGCAAGCGGUACUCAGUGGGUAGGGGUAAAAUCCGUUGAUCCAUUGAAGGCCACCAGUGGCGAAGGCGGCUUGCCAGAAUGCGCUCGACGGUGAGGGAUGAAAGCUGGGGGAGCAAACGGG
rnacentral:rRNA from 1 species